rnacentral:lncRNA from 1 species
CGGUCUUCCUCUCUCUCUCUCUCUCUCUCUCUCUCUCUCUCUCUCUCUACCUUCUCUUUCCCCCUUCAAUUCCCGAGCAAAAUAAGAAAUAAUAAGAUUAAUCGACCAAAAAUUAAAGCAUUCCUCUUCUUCAGCCUCGAUCGUAUUUCUUCAUCUCCCCCUCAAUAAAUUCCAUCUCGGUUUAAUCUCCUCCCAUCCCAUAAAACCCUAGAAUUGGGUUGCAACAACAACUCACAGCCAGAAACGAUAUCAAUGGCGGCAGAGGAUGAAGGAUGAGGGAUGAGUUUUCAGGCCGAUGUUCUGAAACCUAUUUCUUCGUCGCUAAAAACCGAAGCAACCAAAUCGCUGACAACUAUUUAGGUAUGUAUAUAAAUCCAUAUAUAACUUUCUACUGUUGAUUAAGCUUCCAUUAUAUAAUUAUAAGAGAUUUUCACCUUCUUUUCGUCGUCAUCUUUCACUUCCAGUUCCUCAUCCUCAUCCUCACCCUCACCGAUAAACCAUCCUUCUCCUCUUCACUACCUCCUCUUUCCCCAUGAAUCAGAAACCUAGAUUCCUCACCCUCUCUUUCACAAAGUCGCACCAUAUCGAUCAUACACAUAUUUUUAAUUGGCUCUUCGAUUAUGGAUUAAUGGAAGACAUCUUCGCUGUCUCCGAUAUUCGCUUUCCCGCCCUGGUGCCGGCCACAAUUGGUUGUAGCUGGCCGUCACUCUCAAUUGUUCUUCUAAUGCAAGGUGAGUCAUUCAAUUCCACCACUUUUUGUUUGUAUCGACUCCUGAAUUUAUUUUUUGUUCGACUCCCUUAGAAAUUCAAUUUUCUGUCUUUUUUCUAUAUACUUGGUUUUUUUUUUGGUUGAGGAAUUAGUCUCUAAUCAUUUAUCUUAUAAUCUUAACUUUACUUGACAUGUUUGUUGAUUUUUUGUGUAUUGAAGUGAGUACUUUUUCCGUAAUUUUAGAUUUAUAGCUUGGAAGUAUUCCAGGGGUUCUUAAUUUUAGUUUGGAAUACCAACUUGCAUUGUAAAUAAACUUUAAUUUCCAGAUAAAACUUUCAUACUUACUACAUAUAUGAAUAGUAGUUGUAUCAAAUUUUCACUUUUCAAAUAUCUCAGUGAUGAUUAUUGGUUAAGGGAUAAUUCUUACUUCAAACUACAAAUUGUUUCUCUAUUUCCCCAUCAUUACAAAUACUUCCAAGUCUACCAAUUAAUUCUCUAAGAACAAUGUUUUCACCAUUAUUUGUUGAAUUCACGAAUGAUAUGUUGUUGGGGAAGAGACAAUUGAGCUAAGAUCAGACUCAAAAGGGAUUGCUCUGAUCCAUUGAAUUUUCUCAAUUUGAAUUGAAAAAAUAAUUGGGAAUUUGUUCUGAAGUGGAAUUAAGCUCAUUGUUUUGAAUUUCCAUCCCAAGUUCAGUGGAAGUCCAUGUGGGUGGAAAUGUGUUUCCUUCAUUCUUAAAAAGUUUUUCUUUUUCCAUAUGAAAGAGGACCCGAACAAGAAUUAUGCACAAAACAGAAAAUUUUUUGAAAAAAAUUUCUUGAUUUGGAACAAAUAAGGAAGGAAAAAAGUUGAAGGAAAUUUGGGAAGGGUCAUCUACUUUAACAAAGGUAUUGAUGUAUAAUGGUAAUUUAUGGUCUGUGUUUUCUUUCUUUCUUUAAUGAUUUCUCCCUUGGUUUUAUAGUAUGUGGGUUUAAAAUUUUCUCUGUUUUUGAGAAGUGAUGAAUAUUGAAGCUCAGUUUUUGAUGCAAUAAUUAUAUGAAACAGGAUUUGUAAGAAUUAUAUAUAUUUCUAUUAUUUAUUUAUUUGUUUGUUUUAAUUUUUUGGGGGAAUUAUUUAUUUAUUUAUUUAUCCAAGAGAGUUAUGAAAAUUGUCAUUACUAUUUGCAUGGCUCAUUUUUUUGCAUUUUGGUUCUGGGUCAUUCGGAACUGAUAUGAAUGGAAUUCUUUGUUUCUUUGACUAAGAUGCACUUGAUGAGAUGGGCACUGCAUAGAUGAGUUUGAGCAGACCAUCAAUGAUAUCAGAGAUGAGAUGGGGGUAAGAAGGAACUCCAACGUCUUCUACCACUUUGAAGCGAAAAGAAGAAACCAAGGCAGCUGACGAUACAUCAUAAUAUUUGACUCCCGUUUACUGUGUUGGUUUGGGUCUCUGUUUUUUGCGGGUUAAUUGCUUAGAUUUGGAACUGAAAUGAAAUAUUUACAGAGACAUAGUGAGACAUGUAACUAAAAUAUCUUAUACUGCAUAAUUUCCAACAAAUAAUAGCAAAGAAUCAUUUAGUGUGUUUUUUCUUCGAUAAUGAAUCCUUUGUUGUACAUGUAUCUUAUGGUGGAUGUUAAGGUUGCAAAACUCAUGAGAUUUAAGGACUCAUCUAUUCCAUUUGGAUUUUAACACUGCUAUAACAUUAGCUGCAAUACUAACCUAAUGUAUGUGCUUAAUACUGCCUCGCCCCAUCUCCCUAGACUGUUGUUCAGGCAAUUGCAAAAUUGUUAGUUUGCUUACCUAUCAGAACGAGUAUUUUGAGUAGAAAGAUGCACCUUUUGCAAGUGUUGUUAGCUUUAUGGUAUGUCAUUGUGGAUUGAUUGACCAAUUAAUUAGACCAAUCGUGAAGGGC